AUUGGGUUAAUAUUCCUGAACCGAGACAUGGUGGUGGAUGACAAUGUUAGGAAAUCUGGAGAUGUCAUCGGGGGCCUGGGAAGAGUUAUCUUUUCUUUUUAACGAAUUUCCCACCCUGAAAUCGGUUCAACCGGAGAUAGGGUCCAACAUCUAGAAGAGAACCACAUGUAUUGCGAUGUUUGUUUCCCCCUUAGCGUCCAUUGAAAAUAUGGAUAACCGAGUACCAUCCAUGCACGAUCGUACUCAUAUCUGCCUCC
rnacentral:ncRNA from 1 species